rnacentral:misc_RNA from 1 species
GCAGGAAGUUGAACUGCUGGUUUUCCGGCAGGCUCUUCUCGAACGCAUCCUCCGCAUAGCCCGAUACGAAGAUGAUCCGCAGGUCCGGGUUGCGCUUGCGCAUUUCGAUCAACAUGGUCGGGCCGUCCAUUUCCGGCAUCACCACGUCGGACACGACGAGAUCGACCGCGCCUUCCUCGCGCUCCAGCCCAGACCGUUCUCCGCCUCGAUCACCGUGUAACCGCGCGAACGUAGACCGCGCGCGUUCAG